rnacentral:ncRNA from 1 species
GCGCGCAAGGGUCGCGCCCCGGUCGAGGAGAGAUGCGCGCCGCACCUGCCCCGUUCGCGGGGCCGGGGAAGCCGUUCGAGCAGCGUCGUGUCGCGGUCCGGGACUGUCCUCAGUCCCGGGUCGUCUCGGCGCGGUUCCGAGCGGUCGCUCCCUCGCGAGGUGCCGCGGGUCAGCGGCUGACGCCAGCCACCUUCCCGACCCGUCUUGAAACACGGACCAAGGAGUCUAACAUGUGCGCGAGCCGCGGGGCAGUACGAAACCCGUAAGGCGAAAUGAAGGUGAACGCCGGCGCGGUCCGGCGGAGGUUGGAUCCCGUCCCGUCGGGGCGGGCGCACUACCGGCCGAUCUUCUCCGCCCUGUCGGCGAGGUCGAGCGAGAGCGUGCAAGUCGGGACCCGAAAGAUGGUGAACUAUGCCUGAGGAGGUUGAAGCCAGAGGAAACUCUGGUGGAGGACCGUAGCGAUUCUGACGUGCAAAUCGAUCGUCAAAUUUGGGUAUAGGGGCGAAAGACUAAUCGAACCGUCUAGUAGCUGGUUCCCUUCGAAGUUUCCCUCAGGAUAGCUGGCGCUCUGUCGCAGUUUUAUCUGGUAAAGCGAAUGAUUAGAGGUCUUGGGGGCGAAACGCCCUCAACCUAUUCUCAAACUUUAAAUUGGUAAGAAGCCCGACUCGCUCGUUUGGAGCCGGGCAUGGAAUGCGAGUGCCAAGUGGGCCACUCUUGGUAAGCAGGACUGGCGAUGCGGGAUGAACCGAACGCCGGGUUAAGGCGCCCGACGCGACGCUCAUCAGAGCCCACAAAAGGUGUUGGUUGAUAUAGACAGCAGGACGGUGGCCAUGGAAGUCGGAAACCGCUAAGGAGUGUGUAACAACUCACCUGCCGAAUCAAUCAGCCCUGAAAAUGGAUGGCGCUGGAGCGU